rnacentral:rRNA from 1 species
UACAGAGGGUGCGAGCGUUGUCCGGAAUCACUGGGCGUAAAGGGCGCGUAGGUGGUGGCUUAAGCGUGCGGUGAAAGCUCGGGGCUCAACUCCGAGUCGGCCGUGCGAACUGGGCUCACUGGAGCAUAGUAGAGGCAGGUGGAAUUCCGGGUGUAGCGGUGGAAUGCGUAGAGAUCCGGAGGAACACCGGUGGCGAAGGCGGGUCUCUGGGCCGAUACUGACGCUGAGGAGCGAAAGCGUGGGGAGCGAACAGG